rnacentral:pre_miRNA from 1 species
UCUUAAGGAUGGGCAAAGAAAGUGAUUUCUUAAGAUGGAAUCUACUCCUGGUGAAGAUGCUGUGAA